rnacentral:rRNA from 1 species
UAGAGUUUGAUCAUGGCUCAGAUUGAACGCUGGCGGCAUGCUUUACACAUGCAAGUCGAACGGCAGCACGGAAGAGCUUGCUCUUUUGGUGGCGAGUGGCGAACGGGUGAGUAACGCAUCGGAACGUACCGAGUAGUGGGGGAUAACUGUCCGAAAGGAUGGCUAAUACCGCAUAUUCUCUGAGGAGGAAAGCAGGGGACCUUCGGGCCUUGCGCUAUUUGAGCGGCCGAUGUCUGAUUAGCUAGUUGGUGGGGUAAAGGCCUACCAAGGCGACGAUCAGUAGCGGGUCUGAGAGGAUGAUCCGCCACACUGGGACUGAGACACGGCCCAGACUCCUACGGGAGGCAGCAGUGGGGAAUUUUGGACAAUGGGGGGAACCCUGAUCCAGCCAUGCCGCGUGUCUGAAGAAGGCCUUCGGGUUGUAAAGGACUUUUGUCAGGGAAGAAAAGCUUGAGGUUAAUACCCUUGAGUGAUGACGGUACCUGAAGAAUAAGCACCGGCUAACUACGUGCCAGCAGCCGCGGUAAUACGUAGGGUGCCGAGCGUUAAUCGGAAUUACUGGGCCGUAAAGCCGGGCCNCAGACCGGUUACUUAAGUCAGAUGUUGAAAUCCCCGGGCUCAACCUGGGGAACCUGCGUUUGAAACUGGGUGACUAGAGUAUGU